ACUCCUACGGGAGGCAGCAGUAGGGAAUCUUCCACAAUGGACGAAAGUCUGAUGGGGCGAACGCCGCGUGAGUGAAGAAGGGUUUCGGCUCGUAAAAACUCUGUUGUUAAAAGAAAGAAACAUAUCUGAGAGUAACUGUUCAGGUAUUGACGGUAUUUAACCAGAAAGCCACGGCUAACUACGUGCCAGCAGCCGCGGUAAUACGUAGGUGGCAAGCGUUGUCCGGAUUUAUUGGGGCGUAAAGCGAGCGCAGGCGGUUUUUUAAAGUUCUGAUGUGAAAGCCUUCGGCUCAACCGAAGAAGUGCAUCGGAAACUGGGGAAACUUGAGUGCAGAAGAGGACAGUGGAACUCCAUGUGUAGCGGUGAAAUGCGUAGAUAUAUGGAAGAACACCAGUGGCGAAGGCGGCUGUCUGGUCUGUAACUGACGCUGAGGCUCGAAAGUAUGGGUAGCAAACAGGAUUAGAUACCCUGGUAGGAUAGCC
rnacentral:rRNA from 1 species